GAAAUGCGAUACGUAAUGCGAAUUGCAGAAUUCAGUGAAUCAUCAAAUCUUUGAACGCAAGUUGCGCUUUCACGUGCGCGUGGAAGCAUGCCUCUUUCAGUAUCGGUUAUUCAUCACUCAGCUCCUAUCUAUCCGUAGUUAGGAGAGGGAUAUUGAGUGUCACUAGUCCGUCUAGGCUGGUGUCGCUUCAAGUUGGGCGAGCUCAGUCGCUGGUUUCUCACUGAGAAAGUGACGUUGGUAGUGGUAGUGAUGGUGAUGGUGAUGGUGAUGGUGAUGGUGGCAAACUUGAUGCCAUCAUUACAUUACAUUACAUUACAUUACAUUCCCCCAAAAAAUCCACGUCUGGCUUUCGCUUGCAGGUGAAAAACAUAUCUGACCACACACCCAAAAAAAAAAAAAGGUUGGACGACUGCUGGCAUAGGAACUGCUCUGGCAGCUGCCUGCUGCGAGGUAGCAGUUCAAAAACUUAUAUGUCCAAAAUUGGAUCUGAAAUGAGGUAAGAGGACCCGCUGAAUUUAAGC
rnacentral:misc_RNA from 1 species